CAAUAGCGUAUAUUUAAGUUGCUGCAGUUAAAAAGCUCGUAGUUGGAUUUCGGGUGGGAAUGGCCGGUCCGCCGUUUCGGUGUGCACUUGCUACGCCCACCUUGCUGCCGGGGACGUGCUCUUGAGUUCACGCUCGGGACACGGAGUCGGCGAGGUUACUUUGAGUAAAUUAGAGUGUUCAAAGCAGGCCUACGCUCUGAAUACAUUAGCAUGGAAUAACACGAUAGGACUCUGGCCUAUCUUGUUGGUCUGUAGGACCGGAGUAAUGAUUAAGAGGGACAGUCGGGGGCAUUCGUAUUUUAUUGUCAGAGGUGAAAUUCUUGGAUUUAUGAAAGACGAACUACUGCGAAAGCAUUUGCCAAGGAUGUUUUCAUUAA
rnacentral:rRNA from 1 species